rnacentral:misc_RNA from 1 species
GCAAAGGCAUGUUCUAUCCCAAUGCCCUUAUUCCAGAAACUGCUCUUAAUCACGUGCCUAAAGAGACAUUACAUGAGAAACAACAAAAAUGGUUUACAUCUCCCUAUCUGAAAUCGAUAUGAAAUUUGGGAUGUCAAUGUUAAUCACUCUUAUAUUGCUGCGAAGUACUCCUUGCUCAGCUUGGGGUCAGGCUUCAUGGACUUCUCUCCAGGCUUCCAUCCUGCUGGGCAAACUUCAUCUGGAUUUUC